rnacentral:rRNA from 1 species
GACGGAGGGGGCAAGCGUUGUUCGGAUUUACUGGGCGUAAAGGGCGCGUAGGCGGUCAGCACAAGUCAGUUGUGAAAUCUCCGGGCUUAACUCGGAAAGGUUAACUGAUACUGUGCGACUAGAGUGCAGAAGGGGCAACUGGAAUUCUCGGUGUAGCGGUGAAAUGCGUAGAUAUCGAGAGGAACACCUGCGGCGAAGGCGGGUUGCUGGGCUGACACUGACGCUGAUGCGCGAAAGCCAGGGGAGCGAACGGG